GUAUUUUCCUAUCAAAAUUGCCGUGAUUUGGAUCUGGUAAGGAUGGUCCACCUUGAUAUUUUGGUUGAUCAAAGUAUAAGCUGUGUUCUGUUUAUCCUUGAAAUGUUCAAUUUAAGAAGUUUGCAAUGUCUUGAUGAGUUGCUGCAGAUGUUCUUAAAUCUGAAUGCAAGGAUGGCAUUGGCUUGGUCACCCCUUUUCAGUAAAAGAACUUGAAACUUGUCUAUCUUAGACUUUUUGCACAAAUGUUCUGCUUUAUGCUUUUCCUUUUUU
rnacentral:misc_RNA from 1 species